ensembl:lncRNA
CGAUGGACGUGAGUCUGAGUGAACUCCGGGAGUUGGUGAUGGACAGGGAGGCCUGGCGUGCUGCGAUUCAUGGGGUCGCAAAGAGUCGGACAUGACUGAGCGACUGAUCUGAUCUGAUCUGAUCUGAACCUUAUUGAUGAUGGUGCCUUAAUAUGGAGGAGACAUUUGAACUUAGCCACACAAAUAUAUCUUGUUCCCACUGAAACUGUUGGUAAUUAGUCAAAGCCAUUUCCCCUGCAUUCCCUAAUCAAGGUUGCUUUAAGACUCCCACGUCCUCCAAGCCGCACGUGGCCCAGACAAUAAGAAACGUGUUUGCCUGAGACGUUUUCUGGGAACCUGGAGUCAGUGGCAUCUAGCUCAGCUGAAUUGGUUGAAACGAAGUGGGAUCCCCGACCCUCCAACUGGGCAUGCGCGGGUGUCUGCCUGUGCCCUUUGGGGUGUGCAGAGGCCCGUAGCCUAGUCACGCCUGCAGGAAAGAUGUCGACACAGCUUUUCCCCAUCACCUAUCCAUGUCUCGCCACGCUCCCUGCGCCCCAGCCCACCGUGCUUCGGCUUCUUUAUUCCUCAUCCCAGAUAUACCCCGCCUCGUGCCUUCGCGGAGGAGGAGCUGCAGUUUGUUCUGCCGGCUACUUGCAUGGCUGCUAUGUGGAUAAACCCUGUCUUUGCUGCGAACCUCAGCGUCUCGGCGUUUUGGUUGCUGUACGUCGGGUAAAAUGGACCUGGUUCCGUAACACCACCAAAGAGCGUUAAAAGCCAAAAAACAAAAAAGCGACUAUAAGCUGGGCAAAAUUAUGGCACUGCUCCUCCUGCUCUGCACAGCUCCAUGAAGUGUCAGGUAGAUGUGGCAGGUGAGGACCAGAGAGUUCCAGGACUUUGCACAAGGUCACACAGCAAGCAGGUGAACAUAUCUGGACUACAGUCUGACUCAAGACUUUUUCCGAGACCCAACAGGUCCUUCUAUGAAGAAUGUGUAUCUUUGUUUUCCCCCUUUCCCCAAGUUUUAGACAGUCUCCUAGGAGGAGAAACAUUUGGGUAUUACUGUUCCCCUGACACAUACAUUUGUGACCCCACAGAUCACUCUGGGGGCUGCCUGGAGCCACAGAAGAAGCAGCUGCCUCUGUCAUUGCCCCAGGUGCUGACUCCAUCUCAGCCAUGGAAAGUCCCUUCCCCAGAUAGACUCUGGUUUUCCACUGGUUACUCCUGCUGCUAAAAUAAAACCAGGCUGAUCCCUCUACCGCCCAGUGCUAACAGCUGGGGCCGCCUCCAGCCUUCGUCAGGGGUGUGAAGAGGCCAUUUCUUAUGGGCCGUUUUGCUCCUCUGGCUGCCACGUCUCUGCCCUCCAAGUGAACUGCUCUCAUUACCCUGUGCCUCUGCCAAGAUCCUCCUCACGGGCUGGCUGUCUCCCGUUACCCUCCUGUUGAACUCAGAGUUGCCUUCCCCUCAUGUAAAGAGAGAAGUCCACGAGCACAGAAUUUGCACAGGCCUGUGCUAAGCGUGGACGAGGGACCACUAUGAAUAACUCUGGCCACCCCCUCCACCCUGAGUUCCUAUCAACCCAACCGACACAGUCAAACGCCUUUCUUGUAUCUUCCUACCACUGCACAAAUCAGCACAAUAGAAAGAGCUAACAACAAAUACAUUUAGAAUUGAUAUUUAUAGGAGCAGGCUUGGUCUGGGUUUUCAGCCCUGCUGCAGAGAACAAAACUGAACCACAAUAUGUGAGCUUAUAGCACUCGGCAGACACUGUCAGAAAACAAUGCUGAAGAAUACAGCAGCAUAAUCCAUUCAUUUCUACAGGGCCCCCUCUCCAUUUCCAUGGACAUAUUUCCCAGACAAGCUACCGAACAGGUUAAGUGUCCUACCAUUUAUUCACUCAGGCCACAGGGGUGCUUGAACAAACUUUGUUGUUCACAUCCUGCCCCCACCUUUUUUGGAUACGAAAUCCUUUAGUGCAUUAAAAAUAAAAGAACUAAGUCAACUCAGCAAAGUUAAACAGGUUUGAAAUUUGUUUUAGAUGUUAGAUUAAUAGAACCAUUUACUAGGUGGCCUUCAUAUGGCC